AUUGAUGAUGAUGCACUAACUGGGAGGAGGAUCGUAAAACAAACAGGAAAUAUCAAUAGAAAAUUAGAACAUUUAGAACAUCAAUUAGAGACCGUCAAUUGGUUUUGAAAUUAGAUGGGUUGAGAAAAUUUAUGUUAAUUGAGUGAUUAGAAUGCUAAAGAUCAUUAGGAACUGGUCAAUGUAGUAUCAGAAGCUUGAGACUGAAGUCAUAUUCUU
ensembl:ncRNA W06H8.15 ncRNA